UUGCAAUGAUGAUUAUUUGUUACUUGAGAGUGCCCCAAUGAUUGGGGAAACUUGAUGUGGUGCUCAACCUGAGCGGUUACCUGAGCAA
rnacentral:snoRNA from 1 species